AUUGAACGCUGGCGGCAGGCCUAACACAUGCAAGUCGAACGCGUGGCGGACGGGUGAGUAAGGUAUGGGAACCUGCGUGAGGGAGGGGGAUAACUACUGGAAACGGUUGAUAAUACCGCACACAGCUGGUGGGGCCGAGGGGGGAGGAGGGAGUUGGUGGGGUAAAGGCUCACCGAGGCGACGAUCCCUAGCUGGUCUGAGAGGAUGACCGGCCACACUGGAACUGAGACACGGCCCAGACGCCUACGGGAGGCAGCAGUGGGGAAUUUUGGACAAUGGGCGAAAGCCUGAUACAGCCAUGCCGCGUGUAUGAAGAAGGCCUUCGGGUUGUAAAGUACUGUCGGCAGGGAAGCGUUACCCGCAGAAAAAGCACCGGCUAACUACGUGCCAGCAGCCGCGGUAAUUC
rnacentral:rRNA from 1 species